UUGAGAGUUUGAUCCUGGCUCAGAACGAACGCUGGCGGCAGGCCUAACACAUGCAAGUCGAGCGCACCUUCGGGUGAGCGGCGGACGGGUUAGUAACGCGUGGGAACAUACCCUUUUCUACGGAAUAGCCUCGGGAAACUGAGAGUAAUACCGUAUAAGCCCUUCGGGGGAAAGAUUUAUCGGGAAAGGAUUGGCCCGCGUUAGAUUAGAUAGUUGGUGGGGUAAUGGCCUACCAAGUCUACGAUCUAUAGCUGGUUUUAGAGGAUGAUCAGCAACACUGGGACUGAGACACGGCCC
rnacentral:rRNA from 1 species